rnacentral:rRNA from 1 species
AGAGUUUGAUCCUGGCUCAGGAUGAACGCUAGCUACAGGCUUAACACAUGCAAGUCGAGGGGCAUCAGGAAGAAAGCUUGCUUUCUUUGCUGGCGACCGGCGCACGGGUGAGUAACACGUAUCCAACCUGCCCUUUACUCGGGGAUAGCCUUUCGAAAGAAAGAUUAAUACCCGAUAGUAUAAUGAUUCCGCAUGGUUUCAUUAUUAAAGGAUUCCGGUAAAGGAUGGGGAUGCGUUCCAUUAGGUUGUUGGUGAGGUAACGGCCCACCAAGCCUUCGAUGGAUAGGGGUUCUGAGAGGAAGGUCCCCCACAUUGGAACUGAGACACGGUCCAAACUCCUACGGGAGGCAGCAGUGAGGAAUAUUGGUCAAUGGGCGAUGGCCUGAACCAGCCAAGUAGCGUGAAGGAUGACUGCCCUAUGGGUUGUAAACUUCUUUUAUAUUAGAAUAAAGUGCAGUAUGUAUACUGUUUUGUAUGUAUAAUAUGAAUAAGGAUCGGCUAACUCCGUGCCAGCAGCCGCGGUAAUACGGAGGAUCCGAGCGUUAUCCGGAUUUAUUGGGUUUAAAGGGAGCGUAGGUGGACUGGUAAGUCAGUUGUGAAAGUUUGCGGCUCAACCGUAAAAUUGCAGUUGAUACUGUCAGUCUUGAGUACAGUAGAGGUGGGCGGAAUUCGUGGUGUAGCGGUGAAAUGCUUAGAUAUCACGAAGAACUCCGAUUGCGAAGGCAGCUCACUGGACUGCAACUGACACUGAUGCUCGAAAGUGUGGGUAUCAAACAGGAUUAGAUACCCUGGUAGUCCACACAGUAAACGAUGAAUACUCGCUGUUUGCGAUAUACAGUAAGCGGCCAAGCGAAAGCAUUAAGUAUUCCACCUGGGGAGUACGCCGGCAACGGUGAAACUCAAAGGAAUUGACGGGGGCCCGCACAAGCGGAGGAACAUGUGGUUUAAUUCGAUGAUACGCGAGGAACCUUACCCGGGCUUAAAUUGCAGUGGAAUGAUGUGGAAACAUGUCAGUGAGCAAUCACCGCUGUGAAGGUGCUGCAUGGUUGUCGUCAGCUCGUGCCGUGAGGUGUCGGCUUAAGUGCCAUAACGAGCGCAACCCUUAUCUUCAGUUACUAACAGGUCAUGCUGAGGACUCUGGAGAGACUGCCGUCGUAAGAUGUGAGGAAGGUGGGGAUGACGUCAAAUCAGCACGGCCCUUACGUCCGGGGCUACACACGUGUUACAAUGGGGGGUACAGAAGGCAGCUACCUGGUGACAGGAUGCUAAUCCCAAAAGCCUCUCUCAGUUCGGAUCGAAGUCUGCAACCCGACUUCGUGAAGCUGGAUUCGCUAGUAAUCGCGCAUCAGCCACGGCGCGGUGAAUACGUUCCCGGGCCUUGUACACACCGCCCGUCAAGCCAUGGGAGCCGGGGGUACCUGAAGUACGUAACCGCAAGGAGCGUCCUAGGGUAAAACUGGUGACUGGGGCUAAGUCGUAACAAGGUAGCCGUACCGGAAGGUGCGGCUG